GGUGUGGGGCACUAUGGUAGCAGUGAGGUGGGUGGGGAGAGGUCCAGGCAGGUGUGGACCAUGUUGGUGGUGGAAAAAGGCAGAAUGUUUACAGAAGGAGCUUGGGCGUUAUUUAUAUAACUGGGACUGGUAGUCUGCAGUGAAGGGGAUAAAAGACAUGGCUGAUGUGUCUUAUUUCACCCAUUGAGCUAACCUACUCAUUGUAGCCCUCUGUUGAGUCCUGGGAGCACAACAAAUGAACAGGAAAGGAGGGAGCGAACUGGCCUUGGGAGGCCUCCAGAGGGCGCCCUUGGUCCACCUCUUUGUAAUUUCAGCUUCGCAUUUCUUUGCCUUCUCUAGACAGUAUUUCCUUAUAUACCAGAAUAGUCAGUUGGAGGAGGUCUAUCAAAGGUGAAACGGUUGGAUUUUACAAAGAACUUGAAGAGUUGAAAAACCUGUGCAUUAGUGGCACAGCUGGGCAAAGUCUUGGGAGAGGCAGAAGAUGGGGUGGGCCUGAGAUAGCAAAAUGACUCGGCUUAACAAGGGCUGUGUGUUAAAGUUAAUGCAAGUAAAGGUGUUGUUUGGACAGUAAACUGCAAGUAGAGUCAGGAGCAACUAAAUAUCUAGUUGAUUAGACUGCAUCUGGUUUUCAUCGUAAAUCAUUUCCCCAGGGUCCAAGUGGGAUAUGAAACCAAGGUAUAGCCAGAUGAGUCUGGCCCCUAGCAAGGGGUCCUAUUGGGAGACCAUGUACUCAUUUUUCCAGGACUAUUGCUCUUGUUUAAAACCUAUUUGGAACUCCAUUUUGGGAAUGGCCUUCAGAGCCCAUAGCAUAUUAUUUGGUUGUCCUCACUGAUAAUAUGUCACCAUGCUUUAAGAUCCUGAAAUGGUGAGAAGUUACUUGGUUCCAAGUCUGGUGUGAAUAAGGUUCCUGAAUGGCUGGUAGACACCUGGUUAUGAGCAGGAGGAUCCAUAAAGCAGUGGGACUGACUUUGUUAAAACAGCAUAAGCAUGGGUCACCUGAUCACUUCCCUCUACAGCCUUAGUGUUAAGUGAUUCUGAAUCUUUUAUGGCUUGUAGACCUUUUGAGGACAUGACAAAAGCCUAGACCUUCUCCUUGCAAAAAAACAAAAAUAUAUGUAGGUAUAUGGAUUUGCCUGUAAUUUGGGACUUCCAUCACCUCCCUGGAGCCCAUCUUUGAUUCCAUUUGUCCUAGCCUUGCACCUAAGGCCAGCAUAAAGAUAACAGUUAAAGGAGUUCAAGAAGCAAGCCAGAACUGAACUAGAUGCUUUAUAGUUACAUAAACAUCUUGAAUGUGAGUGUGAUUUGGGACUGUGGGCAAAUUAAUCUAUCAUUGGGAUAGAAAUUAAUGAGAAGGUAAGGAGCUGCUGACAAUGUAAGUCCAAAAAGGGUUAUACUGUGGUUCUGGCUGGGUAGCUCAUUUGGUUAGAGCGUUGUCCCAAAGUGCCAAGGUUUCGGGUUUGAUUCCCGACUCAAACAAGGGCUCAUAUAAGAAUCAACCAAUGAAUAUAUUAAUAAGUGGAACAACAAAUUGGGGUUUAUCUUUCUCUGGGGUCACACUGUGAAAAAUACCUACUUUCAGGGAAGGGGAGUUGAGGGACUGGGUGAAAGGAUUAGUAAGUACAGCUUGGUGGUUACAAAACAGUCAUGGGGAUGUAAAGUACAGCAUAGAGAAUAUAGUUAAUGACAUUGCAGUAACUACGUAUGGUGCCAGGUACUGGAAAUGUUGGGCGGAACACUUUGUAAAGUUUAUGAUUGUCUGACCACAAUGUUGUACACCUGAAACCAAUACAAAAUAA